GAUGAACGCUGGCGGCGUGCCUAAUACAUGCAAGUCGAGCGAACAGACGAGGAGCUUGCUCCUCUGACGUUAGCGGCGGACGGGUGAGUAACACGUGGAUAACCUACCUAUAAGACUGGGAUAACUUCGGGAAACCGGAGCUAAUACCGGAUAAUAUAUUGAACCGCAUGGUUCAAUAGUGAAAGACGGUUUUGCUGUCACUUAUAGAUGGAUCCGCGCCGCAUUAGCUAGUUGGUAAGGUAACGGCUUACCAAGGCAACGAUGCGUAGCCGACCUGAGAGGGUGAUCGGCCACACUGGAACUGAGACACGGUCCAGACUCCUACGGGAGGCAGCAGUAGGGAAUCUUCCGCAAUGGGCGAAAGCCUGACGGAGCAACGCCGCGUGAGUGAUGAAGGUCUUCGGAUCGUAAAACUCUGUUAUUAGGGAAGGACAAAUGUGUAAGUAACUAUGCACGUCUUGACGGUACCUAAGCAGAAAGCCACGGCUAACUACGUG
rnacentral:rRNA from 1 species